UCACUAUCAGAAGAGCCCGCGUCGGAUUAGCUAGUUGGUGGGGUAAAGGCCUACCAAGGCAACGAUCCGUAGCUGGUCUGAGAGGAUGAUCAGCCACACUGGAACUGAGACACGGUCCAG
rnacentral:rRNA from 1 species